rnacentral:rRNA from 1 species
CGUAAACGAUGAGUGCUAAGUGUUGGAGGGUUUCCCCCUCCAGUGCUGCAGCUAACGCAUUAAGCACUCCGCUGGGGAGUACGACCGCAAGGUUGAAACUCAAAGGAAUUGACGGGGGCCCGCACAAGCGGUGGAGCAUGUGGUUUAAUUCGAAGCAACGCGAAGAACCUUACCAGGUCUUGACAUCCUUUGACCACUCUAGAGAUAGAGCUUUCCCUUCGGGGACAAAGUGACAGGUGGUGCAUGGUUGUCGUCAGCUCGUGUCGUGAGAUGUUGGGUUAAGUCCCGCAACGAGCGCAACCCUUAUUGUUAGUUGCCAUCAUUCAGUUGGGCACUCUAACGAGACUGCCGGUGACAAACCGGAGGAAGGUGGGGAUGACGUCAAAUCAUCAUGCCCCUUAUGACCUGGGCUACACACGUGCUACAAUGGGAAGUACAACGAGUCGCUAGGCCGCGAGGUCAUGCAAAUCUCUUAAAGCUUCUCUCAGUUCGGAUUGCAGGCUGCAACUCGCCUGCAUGAAGCCGGAAUCGCUAGUAAUCGCGGAUCAGCACGCCGCGGUGAAUACGUUCCCGGGCCUUGUACACACCGCCCGUCACACCACGAAAGUUUGUAACACCCGAAGUCGGCGAGGUAACCUUUUGGAGCCAGCCGCCUAAGGUGGGAUAGAUGAUUGGGGUGAAGUCGUAACAAGGUAACCAAGGGCGAAUUCUG